AUGAACUUUAUUCCCCAGCAGUGUUAUCACAACCUUCUUCUGGAAUAUCGACAUGACAACAAGCGACUGACUCUUUAUUUGAGCAGUUUGAUUAUUUCUGAUUUCUCUACGACAAAUGGCAGUCUCUUCAUGAGCAGUUUGUCAAUCCCCGAUGAAAUUAUUGGUUCUCACCUCCAGCAAUAUCUUCACGAUAUUUUAUGGGUAUCUUUUUGGGAAACAGCAAGCGGCAGUCUCUUCAUGAGCAACUUGUGUGUUAUGGAUACUUUUGACAAACAGCAAGCGGCGGUCUCUUCAUGA